rnacentral:rRNA from 1 species
CAAGUCGAGGGGCAGCGGGGAGGUAGCAAUACUUCCGCCGGCGACCGGCGCACGGGUGAGUAACACGUAUGGAACCUGCCCGUAGCAGGGGGAUAAGCGGAAGAAAUUCCGUCUAAUACCGCGUAAUAACUCCGAGAGGCAUCUCUUGGGGUUUAAAGGGUAACACCGGCUACGGAUGGCCAUGCGGCGCAUUAGCUAGUUGGCGGGGUAACGGCCCACCAAGGCGACGAUGCGUAGGGGUUCUGAGAGGAAGGUCCCCCACACUGGUACUGAGACACGGACCAGACUCCUACGGGAGGCAGCAGUGAGGAAUAUUGGUCAAUGGGCGCGAGCCUGAACCAGCCAAGUCGCGUGAGGGAAGACGGUCCUAUGGAUUGUAAACCUCUUUUGUCGGGGAGCAAAAGACGUCACGUGUGGCGUUCCGAGAGUACCCGAAGAAAAAGCAUCGGCUAACUCCGUGCCAGCAGCCGCGGUAAUACGGAGGAUGCGAGCGUUAUCCGGAUUUAUUGGGUUUAAAGGGUGCGCAGGCGGAAGAUCAAGUCAGCGGUAAAAUUGAGAGGCUCAACCUCUUCGAGCCGUUGAAACUGGUUUUCUUGAGUGAGCGAGAAGUAUGCGGAAUGCGUGGUGUAGCGGUGAAAUGCAUAGAUAUCACGCAGAACUCCGAUUGCGAAGGCAGCAUACCGGCGCUCAACUGACGCUCAUGCACGAAAGUGUGGGUAUC